rnacentral:rRNA from 1 species
UACGUAGGGGGCAAGCGUUGUCCGGAAUCAUUGGGCGUAAAGCGCGUGUAGGCGGCCCGGUAAGUCCGCUGUGAAAGUCGGGGGCUCAACCCUGGGAUGCCGGUCGAUACUGCCGGACUAGAGUUCGGAAGAGGCGAGUGGAAUUCCCGGUGUAGCGGUGAAAUGCGCAGAUAUCGGGAGGAACACCUAUGGCGAAGGCAGCUCGCUGGGACGUUACUGACGCUGAGACGCGAAAGCGUGGGGAGCAAACAGG